rnacentral:rRNA from 1 species
UACGUAGGGUGCAGGCGUUAAUCGGAAUUACUGGGCGUAAAGCGUGCGCAGGCGGUUUCUUAAGUCAGAUGUGAAAGCCCCGGGCUUAACCUGGGAACUGCGUUUGAAACUGGGAGACUUGAGUGUGGCAGAGGGGGGUGGAAUUCCACGUGUAGCAGUGAAAUGCGUAGAUAUGUGGAGGAACACCGAUGGCGAAGGCAGCCCCCUGGGUUAACACUGGCGCUCAUGCACGAAAGCGUGGGGAGCAAACAGG